rnacentral:rRNA from 1 species
CGGACGGGUGAGUAAUGUCUGGGAAACUGCCUGAUGGAGGGGGAUAACUACUGGAAACGGUAGCUAAUACCGCAUAACGUCGCAAGACCAAAGAGGGGGACCUUGGGGCCUCUUGCCAUCGGAUGUGCCCAGAUGGGAUUAGCUAGUAGGUGGGGUAACGGCUCACCUAGGCGACGAUCCCUAGCUGGUCUGAGAGGAUGACCAGCCACACUGGAACUGAGACACGGUCCAG